rnacentral:rRNA from 1 species
CCUACGGGUGGCAGCAGUGAGGAAUAUUGGUCAAUGGGCGCGAGCCUGAACCAGCCAAGUAGCGUGAAGGAUGACGGCCCUACGGGUUGUAAACUUCUUUUAUAAAGGAAUAAAGUGCGGCACGUGUGCCUUUUUGUAUGUACCUUAUGAAUAAGGAUCGGCUAACUCCGUGCCAGCAGCCGCGGUAAUACGGAGGAUCCGAUCGUUAUCCGGAUUUAUUGGGUUUAAAGGGUGCGUAGGUGGUUUGUUAAGUCAGUUGUGAAAGUUUGCGGCUCAACCGUAGAAUUGCCAUUGAUACUGGCAGCCUAGAGUACAGUUGAGGUAGGCGGAAUGCGUGGUGUAGCGGUGAAAUGCUUAGAUAUCACGCAGAACUCCGAUUGCGAAGGCAGCUUACUAAACUGCGACUGACAUUGAUGCUCGAAAGUGUGGGUAUCAAACAGGAUUAGAUACCCUUGUAGUC